GGAGCGGGAGGGGGCUGGGGCUGGGCUGUGACAUCACCAGAGAGGGGUGGGGGACAGACGCCCGGAAUCGGAGGCAGCAUCCCCUCGCUCAGCACUGCCUUUCACUCCCAGAGAGGGACUCGGUGGCGCCCAGCUGAACCUGCCUGCAGACUCGGAACGAAGCCCUUACUGCUUUCAACGGAAAUCAUAAAAACUGUGAACCAUCCACCUGCUGGGCCCGGGGACAUCAACACAGGCGCGUCAUAGGGAACAAAAAAAAAAUACAGCUAGGUGUGGGGUUGGGGCGCUUCUUUCACUGAAGAAGGUAUGUAGGGGCGGGCUAGGGAUCUGGACUCCAGAGAGUUAACAGGUGGGUCUUAACAUCGCAUCUGGUGUCUGGCCCAGAUCAUCAGAAGAAAGCCAGAACAUUGCAGGGAGUGCUGCUAACCAGGAUGACGACACAGCCGGCGAGCUGACCCGAACCUCCUUCCUGCAGGUGGAGACCUCCAUCCUUGUCCUCCUAUUCCGUGGCUGUCAUCACAUACUAUUACUCGGGUCUAGAUUCCCCGGCCCUCAACCCACACGCUUCUCUGGAUCCUCACUGGCCAACCCAGCCUUCACGGACUCUCCUCCGUUUUCCUUUUUCAGUAGGGCUUGGCUGGUAGCCGUUGCACUAUGGGGCCAGUCACAGCCCAGGACUGAGUAACUCGGACAGGGCCUAUGGUCGCUCACCCACCAGGACUCCCCGCACUGCUGUGGUGGGUGUGAUGACGUCAUGUGACCAUGAAACCAGGGCUCCAGACUUCCUCUCCACAGAGCCCCUGCCGGCAGCAUCUCCUGCUCCAGGCAGUUUGCUGGGCACUUUAAAUUGUUAGCCACUUAAUCCACAGCAGCCUGAGGGAGGCGGUGCUCCACCUCCGCUCACCACGCCACUGUGCAGUAAGAUUCCCUGUAAGCAACGCGGGCCCAGACCCUCCAUCUUCUGGCAGAUACUACCCCCACUCCCACCCCACCCCUCCAAAGCUGGGGAAAAGCUCCCCCCUUUUUGUUUCCCAGUAUCACCCGAAUAAGCUACUGGACAGCUAUAGACAACAGAGCUGAUAGGCAGCUAAUCUUCAAGGAUGAUAAGAACAAAAAGUCAUAAUGUUUAUGACUCCAUUUUUGCUUGUUAAUCCGGACAAAGCCGAUGGCUCUCCAGGCAGCUGAGCUUUUGCUAAGCAUUCAUGUCGAUUGAGUUUUUGAAUUGCCAGCAUAUGGAAGUAUGUUCCUUACCGUUGGCUGCCGCUGUGACAUAGGCCAACUAACAGAAGGGAAUGGUUUUUGUUAAGAAGGUAUACUGUCAGGGCAGUGGGAAGCUGUGUUCCCGGGAGGACAUGCUAGCAGGAGCCUGAGGCAGCAGGUCACACCGUGUUCACAGUCGGGAAGCAGAGGGAGAUGAAUGUUGAACCGGAUUAAUUUUUCUGCUUUAUUCAAUUCAGGACCACAGCCCUUGAGACGGUACUACCCACAUUUAGGGUUUUUCUCCCCUGAGUUAAGUUUUUCUGGAAAGACCUCAUAGACAAAGUCCAUAAUGUGUCUCCUGGUGAUGUUAAAUCCAGCCAGGUUGACAAUGAAAAAAGAUGCCAUUGUUUCUGUACUUUUUUUGUUAUAUAUGUUCCUUCCACUUUGUGGUGUGUGUGUGUGUGUGUGUGUGUGUGUGUGUGUGUGUGUGUGUGUGUGUGUGUGUUAUAUGCAUUUAUGAGUGAAGCCACAUGUGUGUGCAAGUGCAUUGCAUAUGUGCACUUGUAUGCAGCAGCCAGAGGCUGACACAGUAUUUUCCUUGGCCACCCACCUUGUGUGCUGAGGUAAGGUCUCUCAAGUGAUCCCAGAGUUUACUGAUUGGGUGAGUCUACCUAUCCAGCUCUAUCCAGAGAUUCCUGUCUGAGUCUCCCAAGCAAUGGGAUCAGGUGGGCCACCACACCUACCCAGCAUUUACACAGAUCCUGGGGCACGGAACUCUAGUCCCUCACACCUUCGAAGCAAACACUUACCCAUUGAGCCGUUUCCCCAGCCCCAUUUCUUCUUUUUGAUGUGAUUUUGAAUAUUGUCAGAAAUCCAACUUUAGUUUUGUGAAUCUUCUCGGUUUCCCCUUUAUUUUAUUUAUUUCUGUCCCCGUCUGUUAUUUCCUUCACGAGUCUUUGGAUUCUGUUUGUGUCUCUCUUUAAGCUUUUCCGUAUUCUAAAAUUUCAGUAUCUAUUUAGAGCUGCAGAACUCCUUCUCCAGUCCUGCCUCAGACUGAUCUAACCAGUUGGCUCCUGCAUUUUCGUGGUCAUUCUGAUCUAAAUGUUUGUGUGCCUAAUGACCUCUCUUGAAUAAUUUUACUUUCCUGUAGUGUGUGUUUGUAAUCUUUUGUUACCACUUUCCAAUUAAACCUCCUUACAUUACAAAGUACGUUCAGUCAAGGUCCUGGCCAGAAGUAUAUGUAUGUACGUGCACUGUGUGAAUUCAGGAGGCUGAAGAGACAAGAAGGGGGCAUUGGAUCACCUAGGACUGAAGUUACAGUGGGCUGUAAGCCUCCAUGUGGGUGCUGGGAACUGGAGCCUGGUCCUCUGUAUACAGCCAGUGCUCCUAACAGCUGAGCCUCUACAGAUCUUGAUCAUUUUGUUGUUGUUUGUUUGCUUGCUUUUUGUUUUGUUUGUGUGAGACAGGGUUCCUCUGUAAAGCCCUGGCUGCCCUGGAAUUCACUCUGUAGACCAGGCUAACCUUGAACUCUCAGAGAUCCACCUGCCUCUGCCUCCCAAGUGCUGGAGUUAAAGACAUGUGCCACCACUGCCCAGUCAAUUCUUGGAACUUUUAAGUCUACUUUGUUUCAACCUUUAAUUUUCUAACUUAAUCCACUAUAAUAAUCAACUAUAUCAAGACCCAGUUUUAACACCAUAUUUUAAAUGUCCAUUAAUUCAAUGGCGUUCUCCUUAUUUCUCAUUAAAUAAUCUGAGUUUUCUUCUGCUAAAUUAUUCUUACUUUUAUUCUAUGACAAUUGCUCUGAACUUAAGACUCAUUUUGAUUUAUCCUGUAUCCAAGUUUAAAUUUUUCUUUAAAAAUUAUAUGUGUGUUUGAGUGUGUGUACACGUGUGUGCAAGUGACUUAAGAGGCCAGGGGAGGGCAUCAGAUUCCCUGGAGAUGGAGUGACAAGCCACUGAGAGCCACCCACUGUGGCUGCUGGGAACUGAACUCACGUCAUUUGGAAGAGCAACAAGUGUUAACUGCUUAGCCAUCUCUCCAGUCCCAACAAGUCUGCUUUUUUUGUUUGUUUGUUUGUUUGUUUGUUACAAUAAUAAUACAAUUUGCCAGGCAAAGGUGGUGCACAUCUUUAAUCCCAGCAUUGGGAGGCAGAGGCAGGAGGAUCUCUGUGAAUUUGAGCCAGCCUGGUCUACAGAAUGAGUUCCAAGACAAGUUCCAAGGUUACACAGAGAAACCCUGUCUCAAAAACCAAAAAAACAAAAAUAAAAUAUUUAAAACAAUGAAAUUACAGAAAGGAAAGGCUCGGUGUCAGCAGAUGACUCUGGAGGUUCCAGGCACAACAGGGGAGGGCGACUCCUCCGCCUUGGCCCUCUGGUGAGGGCUGGAGUGUGCUGGAGCCAAGUGUUUAUCUCCAAUGCCUUCAGGGCUUCCCACUAGGCUCCACCUUCUAAAAAUCUGUGCCCUCUCCCCACAGUGCCACCUGGGGUCAGGACUUGGUGUGGGACACUCACUGUGCAGAGCACAGGACUCACACACCUAUGGAGGACGCAUAGUCUCAAUGUUCACUUGCUGGGCAUCACUUUGGUCCCUUCUUCCCUAUCGCAGGCACUGUUGAGUCUGUCUAGACUUAUAGCUAUGGCAGAAACACAGUCUUCUUCCCCUGGCUCCUUGCUUUAAACCAGUGGAUGCACAUUCUGAAAUACUUGACCCUCUUGUUGCCUCAUUCUCCAUGCUUGCUUUGAGACCGGGUCUCACUUAGCCCUGGCUCGACUAAAAUCUGCUGUGUAGCUGAGAAUGACCUUGAGCCUCUGAGCUUCUUGGUGGGUAUCACCUUGUCUAGCUCCAUACUUCUUGAAGCUUCUUUUAUAUCUACAUUAUUCAUGACAUGUAAAGUCUUCUAACAUGGAUCCUGGCUGGAAAUUAUUCUGAUGUCUCAGAGGCAGGAGGAUUGCAAUAUUUCCAGGCCAGCCUAGGCUAUGCAGUGAGUCCCAAGCUAAUGUGGCCGACACAGUGAGACUUUACCAUGUGUGCACACACACACACACACACACACACACACACACACACACACGCACACGCACACGCACACACACUUUACAAAGGAGGAGGUGGAGCAGAAGCCGUGCUGACUGGCGUGCUCAAAGAAAUUAUGGAAGAACACAGAAACACAAAAUUAGAACAAAAGAGAAAACAGAUUUAGAGUUAGUGAAACGCUCCACACAAAUAACUUGAAAAAUAUGUGUGAAGUGAAUGGUUUUGUGAAUAAAUCAGCUGAAACUCAAAUAGACGGGCAUCAUGGAGGAAAUGGACACUUUCACAGAGAAGCACCCCACAGACUUGGCCAGGAGAAUUUCACAUUCUUUCAAACAUAAAAAUAGUCGAGAGUCGUCUGGUGUUGGCUAAAGCGAUUUACAGCUGCAAAAUGGAAGAUGUUCAUGAAACCCUUUUUCAAAGUCAGGACAACAGCGAUGCCUGGUGGGGAGGCCUUAGUGACCUCCACGGGUUUCCUGGUGAUGCUAACACUGUAGUAACACCGUGACCAGGCAGGAUCCAGUACUACAUUCUGUGCUACACCACGGCUAAACCUUUGGAUUGAAGUGGUCAAGACGAGGGUAGCUAAGCAGUCAAAGGUGUGUCCACCUUGGAUAAAGAGUCCCGGCUAUGUUGCUCAGUACAAAAAUAAAAAAUAAGCAUCCCCUUUGGGAUUGACCUCCUCUUCUACUGGAGAAAAGAGAAGCUUGGCAGCGUCUCACUAGGCAAUUUCAGCCUUGGGGCGACCAGGGGCAGAGGUCAACCCAAUCCUCCAGCAAUUGUGUGACCUCCACAAGUGCUCAGCCCUGGGCUAGUCCUCCCCGGGUGGGAGAAGAGCACCCUCAGGCACCUGAGUUAGCAAUGAAUUAGCAGAUGUGAAUGCUGAGCCUGGGUCUGGGCACACAGCAAAGCCCACAUACACAAGACAAAUAGUGAGACAGCAAAGUAGCUCCCGUUAUCAUAAGGAUGUGCACUCUUGCUUCAACUCAAGUAUCAUCUGAUACAUAUAGAGAAGAGAAGAAAAUGUGACAUAAGAAGAGAAAUAUUCAUAUCCACCUCUGCCCACCAAAGUUGCUAAAAUUCUUAUUAUUUAUUGACUACAGGACCAUCUUUUGUUCCAUAUUUUUCUCCUAGACCAAAUCUUUGGUUCUAAGACCUGACUUCUCUUCUUGGACCUUACAGGACAAUGGAAUGCCUUUCGCUCUAAUGAGCAAAAUUUGGUGGGCUCCUGGACAGUUUUGGGCCCAAGGCUUGUCAUAGAAAGCUUAAGCUGUACUGGGAGCUGGGAACUUCCGAUCUCAUCCCCUUAUCCUUGGGGAUAGAGAGGUUCUAUCGAGAGAUCAUAGCCUAUAGUAUGUUCUGGACUGAAGAAGCAUUCUCCUUAUCAGGGAAGGCCAUCCUACUCUGCUGAGCACAACACUUCAAGAGUGACACAGAGUAGUGAGGGAGGCCACAUAAGCGGCUGGAUCAGCUGAAUUAAAUGUGUCCACUGGGACUGAACUCCACAACUCUGCAUUUUGAUUGGUUGUGGGUUUCUGGGAUGCUCUCCACGUGUUGCAAAGAGAAGUUUCCUUAAUGAGAGGAUCCAUGACUUCACUAGCCCAGGCUAGUUGGCUAGGUGUUCUGGUACCAGGCAUUAUUUCCCUUGCAUUGAGCUGGUCUUAUGACUUCUAAACAUGAGCAAAACAAGGAUGACACAGUGGACAUGCUAACAUGGAUGGGGCGGGGUGUAUCCUGGAGGUCGCUACCCUACACAAAGAGCGACAGACAACUAAGAAUGCAAGGAGAGGGAGAAAUAACCUUCCCCAGGAAAGAAUACAGCAAUUGUUUAUCCAACGAUCAUAUCUGUAAACAUACACACAGACUAAACAGGCUGUAAUUAUGUGUUUAGGAAUUUAUGUGUAUAUAUACACGUAUACAUGUAACAACAGUUAAUGAAAAAAAGAGGCCAUAAAUUUGAAAGCGA